UUCAAUACUGUUGCGCAAGCAACGGUGUGCACUUUUCUCUUAGUAAGACGUUGUGAUCCAUUAGGAAUCGAUCGACCAUCUAAUGUUGGACGAUCAAAAGGUUGCCAAUAGGCCGGCAUCGAAGUUCGAGAUGGCAAACAGCUUGAUCCUUUGGUUGAGCACAUUGCCUCUGGAGCGAGUCGUGUUCUGAAGUAACUGCCUGAUGGAUUUUAAAGGUCAUGCCAUUGAUGCUUGCAUCACCCGGCUUUAGUGUUGGGCAAAGGCCAUGUACCCGAUCAACAACGGUUUCAUUUGGGAUACCUUUGGGACCCGUCUUGAAACACGGACCAAGGAGUCUAUCUAGUAUGCGAGUAAAUGGGAUUUUUAAAAAACCUAUUUGCGUAAAUAACUUGACUGUAAUUUAAUGGGAUUACGUGUGUCUCAUUGUCAAUGAGCGCACCUCCAUCCCGGGGUAUUUUCAUCACAUAUAUGGGCAACUAUAUAUAGAAAAUAUACCAUGAGCAUACUGGACAUGACCCGAAAGAUGGUGAACUAUGCCUGAUCAGGUUGAAGUCAGGGGAAACCCUGAUGGAGGACCGAAGCAAUUCUGACGUGCAAAUCG
rnacentral:rRNA from 1 species